rnacentral:rRNA from 1 species
UACGAAGGGGGCUAGCGUUGCUCGGAAUCACUGGGCGUAAAGGGUGCGUAGGCGGGUCUUUAAGUCAGGGGGGAAAUCCUGGAGCUCAACUCCAGAACUGCCUUUGAUACUGAAGAUCUUGAGUUCGGGAGAGGUGAGUGGAACUGCGAGUGUAGAGGUGAAAUUCGUAGAUAUUCGCAAGAACACCAGUGGCGAAGGCGGCUCACUGGCCCGAUACUGACGCUGAGGCACGAAAGCUAGGGUAGCAAACGGG